rnacentral:rRNA from 1 species
AGAGUUUGAUCCUGGCUCAGAUUGAACGCUGGCGGCAUGCCUAACACAUGCAAGUCGAACGGAAACGAUGGGAGCUUGCUCCCAGGCGUCGAGUGGCGGACGGGUGAGUAAUACAUAGGAAUCUGCCCAGUAGCGGGGGACAACCUGGUGAAAACCAGGCUAAUACCGCAUACGACCUACGGGUGAAAGCAGGGGAUCUUCGGACCUUGCACUACUGGAUGAGCCUAUGUCAGAUUAGCUUGUUGGUGGGGUAAUGGCCUACCAAGGCAACGAUCUGUAGCUGGUCUGAGAGGACGAUCAGCCACACUGGGACUGAGACACGGCCCAGACUCCUACGGGAGGCAGCAGUGGGGAAUAUUGCACAAUGGGCGAAAGCCUGAUGCAGCAAUGCCGCGUGUGUGAAGAAGGCCUGCGGGUUGUAAAGCACUUUCAGUGGGGAGGAAACAGUUGCGGGUUAAUAUCCCGUGGCCUUGACGUUACCCACAGAAGAAGCACCGGCUAACUCUGUGCCAGCAGCCGCGGUAAUACAGAGGGUGCGAGCGUUAAUCGGAAUUACUGGGCGUAAAGCGCGCGUAGGCGGCUUGGUCAGUCGGAUGUGAAAGCCCCGGGCUUAACCUGGGAAUUGCAUUCGAUACUGCCAGGCUAGAAUGUAGUAGAGGGUAGU